rnacentral:rRNA from 1 species
UACGUAGGUGGCAAGCGUUGUCCGGAUUUACUGGGCGUACAGGGAGCGUAGGCGGUUGGAUAAGCCCUCCGUGAAAUCUCCAGGCUUAACCUGGAAAGUGCAGAGGGGACUGUUCAGCUAGAGGAUGGGAGAGGAGCGCGGAAUUCCCGGUGUAGUGGUGAAAUGCGUAGAGAUCGGCAGGAACACCCAGGGGGAAACCAGUCGACUGGGCAUCUACUGACGCUGAGGUGCGAGAGCGUGGGGAGCGAACCGG